UUCAGUUUUUCAUUUCUUCUUCUAUUUUGACCUAACGGCUGUGCCUGUGCUGUGGCUGCUCAAAUCUUCAAUCCAGAGCUGCACCUCUGCUGCGGCUGUGCCUGUGCCGCUUCCUCAUCGAUUUCACGAUCUCCCGCCCAGGCCUAGGCACACACAACACAAACCCGAUCAAGAGCCGCCACAACCACCUCCAUUGCCGAAGUUGUUUUGCAUUUCUGCUGCUGUGAGCUUUGAAAGUAUCGGAAAUUUUGCUUAAAUGGAGAAAUGGGGAGUAAAACAUCCAUGACAAAUUUGAAUAAGACUCUCCCUUCUUAGUGUGAUUAAGAUAUGUUGGAAGGUUGCUUUGUGAAGGCUUUUGGAAGAAUGGAUGCAGCAUAUUUUUUGCAAGGAUAUUAUUCUAUGUGUAUUUUUGUGAUGGGUUGUAAUCUUUAAUGUCAUAAGUUUAAUUUGGUUUGUGUAUUAUUUUUUGUAAUGGUUUGUAAGAGAUUAUAUUUCCUUUC